rnacentral:lncRNA from 1 species
AAUAUCACACAUGGUGAAUCGGUCCACAAUCCCAGCCCGAGGCUCCCGCGACACCUAGGGUUCCCCCUCCCCCCUCCGCCGCCGCCGGCCCUCCGUCGGUCAGGCUCCUCCUCCGCCGCCGUCCCCCGCCUCCUCCCUCCCCCUCCUGGAUCGGCCUCGCGCCGCCUUCCCGGGAGGUGGCCGGGGCGGCAUGCAAGCUCUUGUCCCACGAGCGGCCUCCUCCUCCGGCUCCCCUCCCCCGCCGUCGUCGGCGGGGGGCCCCNNNNNNNNNNNNNNNNNNNNNNNNNNNNNNNNNGCCCCCGGCGCUGGCCCGGGUGGUGCCGGCGGCGGCGAGCCCUCCUUUCCCAGCGCGCUCGGUUCCCCUUCUUCGACCUCAGAACGAUUUUUGUUAAUUGCUUUGUACAAAGUGGAGGAAACCCUUUUUCAUCGUAUCACACAUGGUAGGAAUCCCCUUUCUCGACCGAUUUUUGUUUUGCUAAUGCUCUGACCGGGAUAGUUCAAAGUUCAGUCGACGGAACUUGUCUAUAUCUCAUUAACCUCCAAAUCUGGUUUUGUUUCUAUUUCAUUUAUUUAUAAUGCAAGAGAGGAAGCCCUCCCAGCCUCUGCACCAUAUGAUAAACAAAUCCAGUUUAUUGCAAAGUUCUUUUUUAGCCGAUUUAUUGCAUCAUAUAUUCAUUUGAUGAACAAACCCGUAGUUUAUUUUCCUUUUUAAUAAAAGGCUCCAUAUAGCCUGAGUUCUCUUUCCACUUUCCAGCAAUCUCUAUCUAAAUCGGGUCAUAAAUCCCUCGAUAUAUAGUCAAGUUCAAC